GCUUGUCUCAAAGAUUAAGCCAUGCAUGUAUAAGUAUAAACGCUUUAAGCGUGAAACCGCGAACGGCUCAUUACAACAGCUAUAAUUUACUUGAUCUUGACAAACUUACAUGGAUAACUGAGGUAAUUCUUGAGCUAAUACAUGCACCAAAGCUUUGACCGUAAGGGAAGAGCGCAUUUAUUAGAACAAAACCAAACGGCUUCGGCUGUUCCCAGUUGAAUCAGAAUAACUCAGCUGAUCGUACGGUCUUGCACCGACGACGUGUCUUUCAAGUAUCUGCUUUAUCAACUUUCGAUGGUAGGGUAUCUGCCUACCAUGGUGGUGACGGAUAACGGAGGAUCAGGGUUCGACUCCGGAGAAGGGGCCUGAGAAAUGGCCACUACGUCUAAGGAUUGCAGCAGGCGCGCAAAUUACCCACUCUCAGAAUUUGGAGGAGGUAGUGACGAGAAAUAACGAGGUUGAUCUCUUCUGAGGCCAACCAUCGGAAUGGGUACAAUUUAAACCCUUUAACGAGUAUCUAUGAGAGGGCAAGUCUGGUGCCAGCAGCCGCGGUAAUUCCAGCUCUCAAAAUGCAUAGAAUUAUUGCUGCGGUUAAAAAGCUCGUAGUUGGAUCUGCAGCCGGGGCUCCGGUCCAUCUUCGGAUGUGUACUGGGUGUCCCCGGCUUUCUGACAGUGUUCGGCUCUGUGCCUCUAACCAGGUGUGGAUGUCCGAUACUGUAAGUUUACUUUGAAUAAAUCAGAGUGCUCUAAACAGGCGUUUUGCUUGAAUGAUUGUGCAUGGAAUAAUAGAAGAGGAUUUCGGUUCUAUUUUAUUGGUUUUAUAGACUGAGAUAAUGGUUAACAGAGACAAACGGGGGCAUUUGUAUGGCUACGUGAGAGGUGAAAUUCUUGGACC
rnacentral:rRNA from 1 species